GCAACUCUGGAAAGUUAGGACUUCGCGUCCUGCGCCCACGGUGCAAGCUGCCUAAACAGCGGCGAAGCUCUCAGGCUCCGAUGACAGAGCGGGGAGG
rnacentral:ncRNA from 1 species